CCUACGGGAGGCAGCAGUGAGGAAUAUUGGUCAAUGGACGAGAGUCUGAACCAGCCAAGUAGCGUGAAGGAUGACUGCCCUAUGGGUUGUAAACUUCUUUUAUAUGGGAAUAAAAUGUUCCACGUGUGGGAUUUUGUAUGUCCCAUAUGAAUAAGGAUCGGCUAACUCCGUGCCAGCAGCCGCGGUAAUACGGAGGAUCCGAGCGUUAUCCGGAUUUAUUGGGUUUAAAGGGAGCGUAGGUGGAUUGUUAAGUCAGUUGUGAAAGUUUGCGGCUCAACCGUAAAAUUGCAGUUGAAACUGGCAGUCUUGAGUACAGUAGAGGUGGGCGGAAUUCGUGGUGUAGCGGUGAAAUGCUUAGAUAUCACGAAGAACUCCGAUUGCGAAGGCAGUUCACUGGACUGCAACUGACACUGAGGCUCGAAAGUGUGGGUAUCAAACAGGAUUAGAUACCCCUGUAGUC
rnacentral:rRNA from 1 species